UUUACCUGUCCAUGGCCAGAUGUUCUGGACAGCAGAAAGCCACACUGGGAAAAAGACUGAGGAAGAAAGGACAGGAUCAGAAAACAAUGCCAGGAGAUAGAUAGAUAACAGCUUGAAGACAUGGUGCACGAAGAACUGCUGAAGGUGCUCAUUGGCAAUGUUAAUGCAGAGCUGCUCAAAGCUUUUGGGGGACAAGAUGGGAACCCACAGUCAUCCUUGGCCAGUGCUGCACUGAUUUAUGGUUCAAUGUAGCUGCUGUAGCUGUAUGAUGGGAAAGGCAACAAAAGGCCUCCAUGCAGGAGACAGAUUCCUGGGCCUCCUGCUGCGGUUCCAUAUCCGAAUCAGAGAUAAGUCAUGGCAACUAAUAGCUGGGGGUAAUGUGCGUUUAUUCACAUUACAUAGCUGUGUUUUAUUAUUAGCCUCCUUACCUGAGGGUUUUGUUAAGUUUUACAGCAGAAAUGAAGAUACAGAUGCAGAAAUACAGCAUAGGUCCUUCAGGGCUUGGAGACUUUCAGAGGGAGGCAAAAAAUCAGCAGGCAGUGAAGAGAGCUUUCUUAAUGUUUCUAUCUGUGCAAAUCAUUCUUACUCAAGGAUUUUGCCUCAAAGUAAUUCUUUAGCAAACUUAUUUCUGACACAAGAGUUUUUAGAAGUCUAUAUGUUGUGUGGGAUUAACAAAAUUUCAAGUACUAAUUUUGUUAGAUGAAGGUCAAAUAUUGGCAAAUAAAUCAAAGUGCAUACUUUUAUGUUAUCAAGGCAGAUAUCUAAACCCAGAGCUUUUUGUGUAAUGAGACU